rnacentral:rRNA from 1 species
GGGUGGGGAUGACGUCAAGUCUUCAUGGCCCUUACGACCAGGGUUACACACGUGUUACAAUGGCGCAUACAAAAGGAAGCGACCUCGCGAGAGCAAGCGGACCCAUAAAAGUGCGUCGUAGUCCGGAUUGGAGUCUGCAACUCGACUCCAUGAAGUCGGAAUCGCUAGUAAUCGUGGAUCAGAAUGCCACGGUGAAUACGUUCCCGGGCCUUGUACACACCGCCCGUCACACCAUGGGAGUGGGUUGCAAAAGAAGUAGGUAGCUUAACCUUCGGGAGAGCGCUUACCACUUUGUGAUUCAUGACUGGGGUGAAGUCGUAACAAGGUAACCA